CUCUCCUCUCCCUAAGGUAGUACCCACAAGGGAAACCCACAUAAAUUGGCGGUUGAAACACUAUUAGAGGAACUCGCUUCAUAAUCGAUAAUCCCCGCUCAUAUCUCACCUACUGUAUUAAGCCUAUAUACCGCCGUUACUGGGACUUUUACGACAUCCUCUCCCCAACAGGUUUUCCCUAAAAAAUCAGGUCAAGGUGUAGCUUAUCGGUAAGGAGAAAGUAAGUUACAAUAAACGUAAUUUAAGGAAUAGGCCCUAACCAACCCUAAGAAAGAGAAUUUAAAAGCAAAGAUAAGAUAAAAACUUAUCUCGAAACUCUUCGUUUCAAUGC
rnacentral:rRNA from 1 species